rnacentral:rRNA from 1 species
CAAAAGCGCAUGUGCUGUGAGCUCGAUGAGUAGGGCGGGACACGUGGUAUCCUGUCUGAAUAUGGGGGGACCAUCCUCCAAGGCUAAAUACUCCUGACUGACCGAUAGUGAACCAGUACCGUGAGGGAAAGGCGAAAAGAACCCCGGCGAGGGGAGUGAAAAAGAACCUGAAACCGUGUACGUACAAGCAGUGGGAGCCCCACCACUAAGCCAGUGGUGAACUCCACAUACGCAUCCUUUGCUGAGGAUGCGGUUAACGGAGCGAAAGCGACGUUCAACCGCAAAAGAAGCAGAGGGGGCUUAGUGGUGGGGUGACUGCGUACCUUUUGUAUAAUGGGUCAGCGACUUAUAUUCUGUAGCAAGGUUAACCGAAUAGGGGAGCCGGAGGGAAACCGAGUCUUAACCGGGCGUUAAGUUGCAGGGUAUAGACCCGAAACCCGGUGAUCUAGCCAUGGGCAGGUUGAAGGUUGGGUAACACUAACUGGAGGACCGAACCGACUAAUGUUGAAAAAUUAGCGGAUGACCUGUGGCUGGGGGUGAAAGGCCAAUCAAACCGGGAGAUAGCUGGUUCUCCCCGAAAGCUAUUUAGGUAGCGCCUCGUGAAUUCAUCUCCGGGGGUAGAGCACUGUUUCGGCUAGGGGGCCAUCCCGGCUUACCAACCCGAUGCAAACUGCGAAUACCGGAGAAUGUUAUCACGGGAGACACACGGCGGGUGCUAACGUCCGUCGUGAAGAGGGAAACAACCCAGACCGCCAGCUAAGGUCCCAAAGUCAUGGUUAAGUGGGAAACGAUGUGGGAAGGCCCAGACAGCCAGGAUGUUGGCUUAGAAGCAGCCAUCAUUUAAAGAAAGCGUAAUAGCUCACUGGUCGAGUCGGCCUGCGCGGAAGAUGUAACGGGGCUAAACCAUGCACCGAAGCUGCGGCAGCGAC